CAUGCGAGUCGACGAAGUAGCAAUACUUAGUGGCAGACGGGUGAGUAACAUGUAGGUAUCUGCCCUUUGGCCUGGAAUAACACGAGGAAACUUGUGCUAAUACCGGAUAAGUCUUUACGGAGAAAGCUUUAUGCACCAUUGGAUGAGCCUGCACUUGAUUAGUUUGUUGGUGGGGUAAUGGCCUACCAAGACUGUGAUCAAUAGCUGAUUUGAGAGGAUGAUCAGCCACAUUGGGACUGAGACACGGCCCAAACUCCUACGGGAGGCAGCAGUGGGGAAUCUUGCACAAUGGAGGAAACUCUGAUGCAGCGAUGCCGCGUGAGUGAAGAAGGCCCUUGGGUUGUAAAGCUCUUUCGUCGGGGAAGAAAAUGACUGUACCCGAAUAAGAAGGUCCGGCUAACUUCGUGCCAGCCGCCCGGGG
rnacentral:rRNA from 1 species